rnacentral:rRNA from 1 species
UACGGGGGGGGCAAGCGUUGUUCGGAAUUACUGGGCGUAAAGGGCUCGUAGGCGGCCAACUAAGUCAGACGUGAAAUCCCUCGGCUUAACCGGGGAACUGCAUCUGAUACUGGAUGGCUUGAGUUCGGGAGAGGGAUGCGGAAUUCCAGGUGUAGCGGUGAAAUGCGUAGAUAUCUGGAGGAACACCGGUGGCGAAGGCGGCAUCCUGGACCAACACUGACGCUGAUGAGCGAAAGCCAGGGGAGCAAACGGG